AACAGCGGUUAGGAGCUUACACCCACCCGUGUCUACAUACUAUUGUUGCUUUGGCGGGCCGUGGCCUCCACUGCGGGCUCUGCUCGUGUGUGCCCGCCAGAGAACCAAACUCUGAAUGUUAGUGAUGUCUGAGUACUAUCUAAUAGUUAAAACUUUCAACAACGGAUCUCUUGGUUCUGGCAUCGAUGAAGAACGCAGCGAAAUGCGAUAAGUAAUGUGAAUUGCAGAAUUCAGUGAAUCAUCGAAUCUUUGAACGCACAUUGCGCCCUGUGGUAUUCCGCAGGGCAUGCCUGUUCGAGCGUCAUUUAACCACUCACGCCUAGCGUGGUAUUGGGGCACGCGGUCUCCGCGGCCCUCAAAAUCAGUGGCGGCGCCGGUGGGCUCUAAGCGUAGUACAUACUCCCGCUAUAGAGUUCCCCCGGUGGCUCGCCAGAACCCCCAAUUUUUACAGGUUGACCUCGGAUCAGGUAGGGAUACCCGCUGAACUUAAGCAUAUCAAUAAGCGGAGG
rnacentral:rRNA from 1 species